GAGUUUGAUCGUGGCUCAGGAUGAACGCUGGCGGCGUGCCUAAUACAUGCAAGUCGAGCGAACGGACGAGAAGCUUGCUUCUCUGAUGUUAGCGGCGGACGGGUGAGUAACACGUGGAUAACCUACCUAUAAGACUGGGAUAACUUCGGGAAACCGGAGCUAAUACCGGAUAAUAUUUUGAACCGCAUGGUUCAAAAGUGAAAGACGGUCUUGCUGUCACUUAUAGAUGGAUCCGCGCUGCAUUAGCUAGUUGGUAAGGUAACGGCUUACCAAGGCAACGAUGCAUAGCCGACCUGAGAGGGUGAUCGGCCACACUGGAACUGAGACACGGUCCAGACUCCUACGGGAGGCAGCAGUAGGG
rnacentral:rRNA from 1 species